rnacentral:rRNA from 1 species
UACGGGGGGAGCAAGCGUUGUUCGGAAUCACUGGGCGUAAAGGGAGUCUAGGCGGUUUGGUAAGUGGGAUGUGAAAUCCCCGGGCUCACCCCGGGACCUGCAUCCCAAACUGCUGAGCUUGAGUACAGGAGAGGGUGGGGGAAUUCCCGGUGUAGCGGUGAAAUGCGCAGAUAUCGGGAGGAACACCUAUGGCGAAGGCAGCUCGCUGGGACGUUACUGACGCUGAGACGCGAAAGCGUGGGGAGCAAACAGG